UACGUAGGUGGCAAGCGUUGUCCGGAUUUACUGGGCGUAAAGGGAGCGUAGGCGGAUACUUAAGUGGGAUGUGAAAUACCUGGGCUUAACUUGGGUGCUGCAUUCCAAACUGGGUGUCUAGAGUGUUGGAGAGGAAAGUGGAAUUCCUAGUGUAGCGGUGAAAUGCGUAGAGAUUAGGAAGAACACCAGUGGCGAAGGCGACUUUCUGGACAAUAACUGACGCUGAGGCUCGAAAGCGUGGGGAGCAAACAGGAUUAGAUACCCUGGUAGUCCACGCCGUAAACGAUGGGUACUAGGUGUAGGAGGUCUCGACUCCGCCUGUGCCGCAGUUAACGCAAUAAGUACCCCGCCUGGGGAGUACGGUCGCAAGAUUAAA
rnacentral:rRNA from 1 species